UACAGCGGACACAGGUGGUGCAUGGUUGUCGUCAGCUCGUGUCGUGAGAUGUUGGGUUAAGUCCCGGCAACGAGCGCAACCCUUGUCUUUAGUUGCCAUCAUUAAGUUGGGCACUCUAAAGAGACUGCCGAUGACAAAUCGGAGGAAGGUGGGGAUGACGUCAAAUCAUCAUGUCCUUUAUGUCCUGGGCUACACACGUGCUACAAUGGUCGGUACAACGAGAAGCAAGCCAGCGAUGGCAAGCAAAUCUCUAAAAGCCGAUCCCAGUUCGGAUUGCAGGCUGCAACUCGCCUGCAUGAAGUCGGAGUUGCUAGUAAUCGCGGAUCAGAAUGCCGCGGUGAAUGCGUUCCCGGACCUU
rnacentral:rRNA from 2 species